rnacentral:lncRNA from 1 species
AUGGCUGAAGAGUCUAACUAGAUUGUGACUCUGGUGAAGAGUCCUAUUCGGACUAGGAGUGCUACUUGGACUAGAACUCUAUGGGAGAGUCCUAUUGAGAUUGAAACUCUAUCAUUUAUGGAGAAUUAAUUUGUAAUUAGAUUAUUAAUUGACUCAAUUUGAUUGAGUAAAGAUCUUUGGAACAAGUCUAAUUAAAUGAGAUUCAGUU